CUGAUCAUCAAGUACGAGAGGGUUCUUCUCACAAAUACAGUACCAGAUGGACCUGGCAUCAUCGAUACCAACUGUAUUUGAAGAGGGGGCAAAUGAACCAACAGUUGAAACACAAAACACAAGCCAACAUAUUAUUUAAUAUAACAUCCCAGAACACAAGCCUGUGACAAGUAAACAAAUUAACUAGAGGAAGAAAGCUUCACCAAUAACACAGUGCCGGCAAAUUAGACCAUGAGAGAGAAACCAACAGGCAGAACAUGAACCUAUGCAUGUCGAUUAUUAUUUCAUAAAUUUGAGAAAGAAAAAUAGUAGCCAAAACCAGCCUCAUUUUCUGCACCUUCUUCAUCUUUAUAACCAGUUUUAAGCAAGAUAUCAUGCACUGCAGUAAGGUCCAUCCUAGCACAUGCCAUUCCAAGCGGGGAAAGCAUAGUUGGCAGCACCGGUGGCGUCUUAGAUAAACCCAUUAGAAUAUGAGAUGCAA